rnacentral:rRNA from 1 species
GACGAACGCUGGCGGCGUGCUUAACACAUGCAAGUCGAACGGAAAGGCCCUGCUUUUGUGGGGUGCUCGAGUGGCGAACGGGUGAGUAACACGUGAGUAACCUGCCCUUGACUUUGGGAUAACUUCAGGAAACUGGGGCUAAUACCGGAUAGGAGCUCCUGCUGCAUGGUGGGGGUUGGAAAGUUUCGGCCGUUGGGGAUGGACUCGCGGCUUAUCAGCUUGUUGGUGGGGUAGUGGCUUACCAAGGGUUUGACGGGUAGCCGGCCUGAGAGGGUGACCGGGCACAUUGGGACUGCGGUAGGGACCAGACUCCUACGGGAGGCAGCAGGGGGGAAUAUUGCACAAUGGGCGGAAGCCUGAGGCAGCGGCGCCGCGUGCGGGAUGACGGCCUUCGGGUUGUAAACCGCUGUCGCCUGUGACGAAGCGGGAGUGACGGUAAUGGGUAAAGAAGCACCGGCUAACUACGUG